UUUGGCAAUUGAUGAGCAAUAUGUUUAUCCUACACUCUGAAUGAAUUGUUGUGUUGAGCAUAAACUCCGCUUAUUAUCUGAUGCCAAU
rfam:Populus trichocarpa scaffold_14_contig_143, whole genome shotgun sequence.